UACGAAGGGGGCUAGCGUUGCUCGGAAUUACUGGGCGUAAAGCGCACGUAGGCGGCUGUUCAAGUCGAACGUGAAAACUCGGAGCUCAACUCCGAGCCUGCGUUCGAUACUGGUGAGCUUGAGUCCGGAAGAGGUGAGUGGAACUGCGAGUGUAGAGGUGAAAUUCGUAGAUAUUCGCAAGAACACCAGUGGCGAAGGCGGCUCACUGGUCCGGUACUGACGCUGAGGUGCGAAAGCGUGGGGAGCAAACAGG
rnacentral:rRNA from 1 species